UACGGAGGGUGCAAGCGUUAUCCGGAUUUACUGGGUUUAAAGGGUGCGUAGGUGGGUCUGUAAGUCAGUGGUGAAAUCUUCAAGCUUAGCUUGGAAACUGCCAUUGAUACUAUAGGUCUUGAAUUGUCUGGAGGUAAGCGGAAUAUGUCAUGUAGCGGUGGAAAUGCUUAGAUAUGACAUAGAACACCAAUUGCGAAGGCAGCUUACUACGGAUUAUUGACACUGAGGCACGAAAGCGUGGGGAUCAAACAGG
rnacentral:rRNA from 1 species